AGUUCAUUGUGCGAAAGCAACGUGCAUCGUGUUCAAAAACAAAGUGCACCGUGGAGUUUAAUCAACGAUCAGUCACAAUGACUGGAGGGCCUCUCGGCAGGAAUGCUUAUCCUAGAAGUUGUCCGCAUGCCGAUAGCAAUAAGCCGCGGUCGGCUGCAGACUACGAUCAGCUGGUGUCUGCCGAAAUUCCGGAUCCGGCAAACGAACAGCCGUCAGUAAUUGCAUGAUGGACGGUCCAUGCGGUCAGUCGCCCAUCCACCCUGGAAUGAAGAAGAUGGAGCCUGUUCGAAUAGGUUUCCAAGGCAGUUUUGUAAGGAAACACGGCAGACGCAUGAUAGAUACCCGAUGUACCAGCGGCGUAAUGAUGAUCGCACUGUAACGAUCCGAGCUGCGCUAAUCCUUGGCGAAACUUAUGCGAGAAACAAGUAUCAUCGUAAGAGAUGGAGCAUCCCGAGAAACAGGAUACUCUACAACUGCACCUGAAUGACCGGAUUCAUCAGGAAACGCCUUUACACGGUGAUAGUCUAUAUUACAUUCUUCAUCUGCCCAGGAUCAGAUUGCUGAUUGCCAAGAAUACGGACGGAUAGGAUGUGUAGCACUGCUC